UGGAGGAGCGAGUGUCCACGGCCGCGCUGCUGUGGGCACUGGGCUGAGGGUGCAGAGGGCAUUCAGCUAACCCAAAGGGACACGCGCCUGGUGGGACAUUCUGUCUGUACAAA
rfam:Tursiops truncatus cont1.249057, whole genome shotgun sequence.